rnacentral:rRNA from 1 species
UACGGGGGGAGCAAGCGUUGUUCGGAUUUACUGGGCGUAAAGCGCACGUAGGCGGCUUGAUAAGUAAGAGGUGAAAGCCUGGAGCUCAACUCCAGAACUGCCUUUUAGACUGUCUCGCUUGAAUCCAGGAGAGGUGAGUGGAAUUCCGAGUGUAGAGGUGAAAUUCGUAGAUAUUCGGAAGAACACCAGUGGCGAAGGCGGCUCACUGGACUGGUAUUGACGCUGAGGUGCGAAAGCGUGGGGAGCAAACAGGG